GACGAACGCUGGCGGCGCGCCUAAUACAUGCAAGUCGAACGGGUACCGCUUCGGUGGUGCCAGUGGCGGACGGGUGAGUAACACGUGGGUGACCUGCCCUCCGGUGGGGAAUAACUCUGGGAAACCAGGGCUAAUACCGCAUAUGCUUAACACUUCGCUGUGCUAAGUAAAGAUUUAUCGCCGGAGGAGGGGCCUGCGUCGGAUUAGCUAGGCGGUGGGGUAAUGGCCUACCGCGGCAGCGAUCCGUAGCUGGUCUGAGAGGACGACCAGCCACACUGGGACUGAGACACGGCCCAGACUCCUACGGGAGGCAGCAGUAAGGAAUAUUCCACAAUGGGCGCAAGCCUGAUGGAGCGACGCCGCGUGAG
rnacentral:rRNA from 1 species